rnacentral:rRNA from 1 species
GACGAACGCUGGCGGCGUGCUUAACACAUGCAAGUCGAACGGAAAGGCCCUGCUUUUGUGGGGUGCUCGAGUGGCGAACGGGUGAGUAACACGUGAGUAUCCUGCCCUUGACUUUGGGAUAACUUCAGGAAACUGGGGCUAAUACCGGAUAGGAGCUCCUGCUGCAUGGUGGGGGUUGGAAAGUUUCGGAGGUUGGGGAUGGACUCGCGGGUUACCAGCUUGUUGGUGGGGGAGUGGCUUACCAAGGCUUUGGCGGGUAGCCGGCCUGAGAGGGGGACCGGGCACAUUGGGACUGAGAUACGGCCCAGACUCGUACGGGAGGCAGCAGUGGGGAAUAGUGCACGAUGGGCGGAAGCCUGAUGCAGCAACGCCGCGUGCGGGAUGACGGCGUUCGGGCUGUGAACCGCUUUCGCCUGUGACGAAGCGUGAGUGACGGUAAUGGGUAAAGAAGCACCGGCUAACUACGUG